rnacentral:rRNA from 1 species
CACCAGCGCCGCAAGUGGGAACCACGCUUAUUGGGUCUAAAGCAUCCGUAGCCGGUUGUGUAAAUGCCCUGUGAAAUCGUCCCGCUUAACGGGUCGGCGUGCAAGGCAGACUGCACAACUAGGGACCAGGAGAGGUAGACGGUAUUCUGGGGGGACCGGUAAAAUGGGAUAAUCCUCAGAGGACCACCGAUGGCGAAGGCAGUCUACCAGAAUGGAUCCGACGGUGAGGGAUGAAAGCUAGGGGAGCGAUCCGGAUUAGAUACCCGAGUAGUCCUAGCCGUAAACGCUGCGAGCCAGAUGUUGCACAAUCCUCGAGGUUGUGCAGUGUCGAAACGAAGGUGUUAAGCUCGCCACCUGGGGAGUACGGUCGCAAGGCUGAAACUUAAAGGAAUUGGCGGGGGAGCACUACAAGGGGUGCGGCGUGCGGUUUAAUCGAACAAUACGCCGAGAACCUCACCAGGGGCGACGGCACAAUGACGCUCAGUCUGAAGGGCUUAGCUGAGGAGCCGAGAGGUGGUGCAUGGCCGCCGUCAGCUCGUGCCGUGAGGUGUCCUGUUAAGUCAGGCAACGAGCGAGACCUGUAUCCAUCGUUACAAACGCGUCCGCAAGGAUGAGCGAGUACUCUAUGGAGACUGCCUUGGAAACAAGGAGGAAGGUGCAGGCCACGGCAGGUCUGUAUGCCCCGAACCUCCUGGGCUACACGCGCGCAACAAUGGUUGUGACAAUGGGACGCGACUCCGAAAGGAGAAGCCAAUCCUCGAAACACAACCCUAGUACGGAUUGAGGGUUGCAACUCACCCUCAUGACGACGGAAUCCCUAGUAAUCAGACGUUAGCAUCGUCCGGUGAAUGUGUCCCUGCUCC